ensembl:lncRNA
GUUUAAAUGCGCAGGUUUGUUUGGAAACAGCUCCACUCUGUGGUGAUUACAAUAACUAUAACUACAGUUCAAGCCACUCUGUGUUAAGCAAAGACAAAAAGAUGUUUAUGCAAGAUUUAUUUACUCAUGCAAAUACAAACGUUAGAACACAAACAACUGAACAAUACAAUAAAUAUAACCAGACUUUUUUUUCAGAAAUCAGAUCUAUUAAUUUAAACAAGUUACACAAUAAAACAAAUCUCAACAGCAACGAUGCAUGUCUCUUCAUUUAUACAAAAUGACACACAAAUCUAAUUGCAGGACUUUCAUAGAGACUCAUUUGCAGGACUCUUUAAUAAUCUGAUUCUGAUUCUUCACCAGAGUGGCUAACAUGGACAUGAAGUUGGGCUUCUGAGCGGCAGGUUUUGUUACACCAGAGGCAGAGACUUUCUUCUGGUUCCCUCCUUUCAUUUUAGGCUUCACGCUGAACAGAUCUGUGGGAGUCCUGAACCCAUCCGAAUCCUCAGAAAUCUCCUCCUGCUGCUCAUUCUGGAAACCAUUCUGAGCUUCACGAAUCACUCCACGUUUGUGCUUCUGCCGAGGGCUUUUCCUCUGUUCCGCAGCUUCCACAGCAACAGUUUCAGGCGUUUCAUCAAACUUCAGCACCCGCCGCGUUCCUUCUAUGCCAUCAAACACUUCCUGCUUGUUCAGUUUGCCACGGACAUUAGUCGUCCUCUGUUCGCUGGAGGCAUCUGAGUUCUGCUUCAAAUCUGCAUUUAAUCUUGAAAUCUUAUCAUCUACAAACAGUUUGUCCUCCUGUGUCAUCCUAACACUAAGGUUGAGAGGAGAAAGCUGCUGAGAAAAUGUGUUGUUCAAAGAAGGCUUCCUUUUCACUGAAGAUGUCCAGCCAGCGAGGGGUGGCCAGACCACAGAUCGUGACCUCUUACGAUGCCGUGGCUUUGCUUUGGUAAUGGACCGGUUGGUCUGAAUGGAAAGCAGAUACUUGCAGCGCCGUAAAUUCCUAGAUAUAUGCAUACAAAAAUUAUUUUGCUACAUAUAUAUAUAUACGCACAAUACUGGAGUAUUGUUUAAUCUUUCCUUGAAUGGGAAAUCUAAUUUUUGGAAAUAGCAUCAAAUCAUCAAAAUCAUUACAGACACUAUUGGAAAAGAACUGAACUGAGCUGGACAAUGAUAUCAGUGAAUCGAUGAUGAACACAGUUUUUAACUGAAAAAUUGACUGUUUACUAUUGUCC